rnacentral:rRNA from 1 species
AACGAACGCUGGCGGCAUGCCUAACACAUGCAAGUCGAACGAGACCUUCGGGUCUAGUGGCGCACGGGUGCGUAACGCGUGGGAACCUGCCCUUAGGUUCGGAAUAACUCCCCGAAAGGGGUGCUAAUACCGGAUAAUGUCUUCGGACCAAAGAUUUAUCGCCUUUGGAUGGGCCCGCGUUGGAUUAGCUAGUUGGUAGGGUAAAAGCCUACCAAGGCGACGAUCCAGAGCUGGUCUGAGAGGAUGAUCAGCCACACUGGGACUGAGACACGGCCCAGACUCCUACGGGAGGCAGCUGUGGGGAAUAUUGGACAAUGGGCGAAAGCCUGAUCCAGCAAUGCCGCGUGAGUGAUGAAGGCCUUAGGGUUGUAAAGCUCUUUUACCCGGGAUGAUAAUGACAGUACCGGGAGAAUAAGCUCCGGCUAACUCCGUG